UAGAGUUUGAUCCUGGCUCAGAACGUACGCUGGCGGCACGCCUAACACAUGCAAGUCGAACGAAGUAGCAAUACUUAGUGGCAGACGGGUGAGUAACAUGUAGGUAUCUGCCCUUUGGCCUGGUAUAACACGAGGAAACUUGUGCUAAUACCGGAUAAGUCUUUACGGAGAAAGCUUUAUGCACCAUUGGAUGAGCCUGCACUUGAUUAGUUUGUUGGUAGGGUAAUGGCCUACCAAGACUGUGAUCAAUAGCUGAUUUGAGAGGAUGAUCAGCCACAUUGGGACUGAGACACGGCCCAAACUCCUACGGGAGGCAGCAGUGGGGAAUCUUGCACAAUGGAGGAAACUCUGAUGCAGCGAUGCCGCGUGAGUGAAGAAGGCCUUUGGGUUGUAAAGCUCUUUCGUCGGGGAAGAAAAUGACUGUACCCGAAUAAGAAGGUCCGGCUAACUUCGUGCCAGCAGCCGCGGUAAUACGAAGGGACCUAGCGUAGUUCGGAAUUACUGGGCUUAAAGAGUUCGUAGGUGGUUGAAAAAGUUGGUGGUGAAAUCCCAGAGCUUAACUCUGGAACUGCCAUCAAAACUUUUCAGCUAGAGUAUGAUAGAGGAAAGCAGAAUUUCUAGUGUAGAGGUGAAAUUCGUAGAUAUUAGAAAGAAUACCAAUUGCGAAGGCAGCUUUCUGGAUCAUUACUGACACUGAGGAACGAAAGCAUGGGUAGCGAAGAGGAUUAGAUACCCUCGUAGUCCAUGCCGUAAACGAUGUGUGUUAGACGUUGGAAAUUUAUUUUCAGUGUCGCAGCGAAAGCGAUAAACACACCGCCUGGGGAGUACGACCGCAAGGUUAAAACUCAAAUGAAUUGACGGGGACCCGCACAAGUAGUGGAGCAUGUGGUUUAAUUCGAAGAUACGCGCAGAACCUUACCAACACUUGACAUGUUCGUCGCGACUCUAAGAGAUUAGAGUUUUCGGUUCGGCCGGACGAAACACAGGUGCUGCAUGGCUGUCGUCAGCUCGUGUCGUGAGAUGUUGGGUUAAGUCCCGCAACGAGCGCAACCCUCACUUUUAGUUGCCAUCAUUAAGUUGGGCACUCUGAAAGAACUGCCAGUGAUAAGCUGGAGGAGGGUGGGGAUGACGUCAAGUCCUCAUGGCCCUUACGUGUUGGGCUACACACGUGCUACAAUGGUAUCUACAACAGGAAGCAAGACUGCGAGGUCAAGCAAAUCCUUAAAAGAUACCUCAGUUCGGAUUGCACUCUGCAACUCGAGUGCGUGAAGCUGGAAUUACUAGUAAUCGUGGAUCAGCGUGCCACGGUGAAUGCGUUCCCGGGUCUUGUACACACCGCCCGUCACACCAUGGGAGUUGGUUCUACCUUAAGGCAAGGUUUAAUACCCUUGACCACGGUAUAGUCAGCGACUGGGGUGAAGUCGUAACAAGGUAACCA
rnacentral:rRNA from 1 species